UGGAGGGGGAUAACUACUGGAAACGGUAGCUAAUACCGCAUAACGUCGCAAGACCAAAGUGGGGGACCUUCGGGCCUCAUGCCAUCAGAUGUGCCCAGAUGGGAUUAGCUGGUAGGUGGGGUAACGGCUCACCUAGGCGACGAUCCCUAGCUGGUCUGAGAGGAUGACCAGCCACACUGGAACUGAGACACGGUCCAGACUCCUACGGGAGGCAGCAGUGGGGAAUAUUGCACAAUGGGCGCAAGCCUGAUGCAGCCAUGCCGCGUGUGUGAAAAAGGCCUUCGGUUUGUAAAGCACUUUCACGCGGGGAGGAAGGCGAUGAGGUUAAAACCCUUGUCGAUUGACUUUACCCGGAAAAAAACCACCGGCUAACUCCGUGCCAGCAGCCGGCGGAAAUACGGAGGGUGCAGGCGUUAACCGGGAAUUACUGGGCGUAAAAG
rnacentral:rRNA from 1 species